UACGUAGGGUGCAAGCGUUAAUCGGAAUUACUGGGCGUAAAGCGUGCGCAGGCGGCUUUGCAAGACAGAUGUGAAAUCCCCGGGCUUAACCUGGGAACUGCAUUUGUGACUGCAAGGCUAGAGUACGGCAGAGGGGGAUGGAAUUCCGCGUGUAGCAGUGAAAUGCGUAGAGAUCAGCAGGAACACCCGUGGCGAAGGCGGCCCCCUGGGCCGUACCUGACGCUGAGGCGCGAAGGCUAGGGGAGCGAACGGG
rnacentral:rRNA from 1 species